GCUGGGCUUGGUAGCGCGAGCCUGUAACCCAAGUGGGAGCAAUAAGAUGGUGGAAUAAUUGGCCUUACCUUGAAAGCUGGGCUUGAGGUGCUAUUUACUGGCCUGCCCGUUCCAAGUGGUGAGUCUGGCUGUGUGUGUCAGGCUGUGGAGUCUUCGCCUUACCGUGGAGUCUUUGCGAAGGCGAAGGCCUCUCGUCCAUUAGACCGGAGGGCACCGCGUCAGGCUGGUUUCAUAGAGCAGUGAACACCUCCUCUUUUCUACAGUGGAAGGAUAACGGGCUGGAGAUUCUUCAGUCCACCAGUGCCUUAUUGGGUUGUCCAAAUUAAACCACCAUCUUA
rnacentral:SRP_RNA from 1 species